ensembl:lncRNA
GUGUGUUUUAACUGAUAUAGCAUGCUAGAAGUUAAGAUUGACAAAAAUAAAAGACAAAUUAAAGGAAUUAGGCUACUAAAUUAAGUGUAAAAGUGUAAGAAUAGAAUAAAAUAAAAUAAAAUAAAAUAAAAUUUCCUGUGACAAUAAAAUAAAAUUAAAUAAAAUAUUUUUUCCUGUGGCUUAGAGGUGAUUGGCUAGGAGAAGGAUCUGCCGCCCGCAGUUGACUUAGAUAUUCUAGGUAUUAUCAAAUUGCCAGAGUUUUGAGAAUGGAGCGGACGUGGAGGACUAUAAUGUAACAAGAGCUCAUUCAAAAACUGAGGUGCUAAACCAUUCAGGGCUUAUAUACUGUAUAUAUAUACAUAUAAGAAUCAAAAUAAACUAAAGUUGACUAUAAUCAAAAUAAUUGUAUAUAAAUAAUACUAAAAUAACACUGAUCAGAAUAUAUAUUAUGCAAUGAUAAAUAUUUCAAACCCUGACCUCAUUACUUUGCAUAAUACAAAAAUAGUGUUGUUAUCAUUUUGGGAAUAAAAAAUGGUUAUUUUGUGAUUUAAACUGAUUAGGUAGUUAGUUUAUUUAUUUAAGCGUGGCUGUAAUGCUUCUGCUUCGUUCUUCACACGGGAAUUGGAAGGUCAAGCCGGGCAAAAAAUGCAGAGUAUACAUGCUAUAUACUGCAGAAACAAUAAAAGUAGAGUGGUAUUUAAUAGACUGAGACCAGUAAAGGACAAGUAACACUGUUAAUCCACAUUUAUUACUCACCUUCUAAUUUCAUAAUAAACUAACAGACUUUUUAAAAAAGAUAUCAUCUUUGAUUUCUGCUUUUUCAAAGUUUCCUGAAGAUAUUUUUAGCCUUGUGUGAGGAACAGACCAAAAUAAGUCAUUAUUCACAGAAAGUUUCCCCUCAGUAGAUCUCAAAGCUCAUUCAUAUUCAUGAACAUUUAAACUUAUUACCUUGCGAUAAGUUAUGAAAUGGCGAUGGCAGACAACGGGAUUUGUGAAGUAUCAAAGCCCCUCGUUUGAAUAUAUGCAAAUGAGAUUUGAAUCCGCAGUGGACAAGAAGAUUUUUACAGAUGAACGACUCAGUCUUUGGUCUGAUGGCUCGUCAGCUCCAGUCCUCAUUGAGUUUCACAGUGUCGCAGAGCAAUGUGAACAACCUGACUUUGUGUUUUUUCGAAGGAAGAAACAGUCAGACAGCUUGAGGCAAACCAGACAUGACAGUACACAGGGGCCUGACUCACAAAGUGCAUUGUUCCUCAACAGUAUCUUCAGUGUGACAGUGGUUCUUCUGGAUUUGGGCCAAUGAUUAAAAAAAAAGCAUUGUUUUGAAAGAAGGAAAGUCUCCUCAGUUCAUGUUUUGUAACAGUUUGAAAGUGAAAUGUCCUGUGAAUGGUGGUGAAGUAUGCAUUCAGCACAUGACCAUAGGUGCAAGUUUUUGUUACGUUGGUACAGGCACAUAUUGCUGCAUUUUUUUUCUGUUAAUACUCGCAUGUGUUGCAGCAGUUCAUCUUCAGAACACAAAUUUAGAUAGUUUUGAUGAAAUCUGAGACAGCAACACAACUGAAACUCCAUACAGUGAAAAACUAUGAUACUGUAUUAUUACAGUUAAAUGUAAUAUACAGUUUAAUGUAUAGUUUUUGGAAUAAUUUACAGUGAAAAAACCACAUCAAUUAACAUUAUCAUGUUGGUAUGGGCAGUGUGCGACAUAUAGCACUGUUGCACUUUGGGUGUCCCGAGUUCAAGUCUUGGCUCACAGAUAUCUCCCAAUCCCAACCUCCCUCUCUCUCUUCCACCUUGCUUCCUGUCUGAAAUACUGUCCUAUCCUAAUAAAGGCAAAAAUGCCAAAAAAAAGACA